CUGCCCAAGAGACUGGGAUAACACCUGGAAACAGAUGCUAAUACCGGAUAACAACACUAGACGCAUGUCUAGAGUUUGAAAGAUGGUUCUGCUAUCACUCUUGGAUGGACCUGCGGUGCAUUAGCUAGUUGGUAAGGUAACGGCUUACCAAGGCAAUGAUGCAUAGCCGAGUUGAGAGACUGAUCGGCCACAUUGGGACUGAGACACGGCCCAAACUCCUACGGGAGGCAGCAGUAGGGAAUCUUCCACAAUGGACGAAAGUCUGAUGGAGCAACGCCGCGUGAGUGAAGAAGGGUUUCGGCUCGUAAAGCUCUGUUGGUAGUGAAGAAAGAUAGAGGUAGUAACUGGCCUUUAUUUGACGGUAAUUACUUAGAAAGUCACGGCUAACUACGUGCCAGCAGCCGCGGUAAUACGUAGGUGGCAAGCGUUGUCCGGAUUUAUUGGGCGUAAAGCGAGUGCAGGCGGUUCAAUAAGUCUGAUGUGAAAGCCUUCGGCUCAACCGGAGAAUUGCAUCAGAAACUGUUGAACUUGAGUGCAGAAGAGGAGAGUGGAACUCCAUGUGUAGCGGUGGAAUGCGUAGAUAUAUGGAAGAACACCAGUGGCGAAGGCGGCUCUCUGGUCUGCAACUGACGCUGAGGCUCGAAAGCAUGGGUAGCGAACAGGAUUAGAUACCCUGGUAGUCCAUGCCGUAAAC
rnacentral:rRNA from 1 species